CCUGGCUCAGAUUGAACGCUGGCGGCAGGCCUAACACAUGCAAGUCGAACGGUAGCACAGAGAGCUUGCUCUCGGGUGACGAGUGGCGGACGGGUGAGUAAUGUCUGGGAAACUGCCUGAUGGAGGGGGAUAACUACUGGAAACGGUAGCUAAUACCGCAUAACGUCGCAAGACCAAAGAGGGGGACCUUCGGGCCUCUUGCCAUCAGAUGUGCCCAGAUGGGAUUAGCUAGUAGGUGGGGUAACGGCUCACCUAGGCGACGAUCCCUAGCUGGUCUGAGAGGAUGACCAGCCACACUGGAACUGAGACACGGUCCAGACUCCUACGGGAGGCAGCAGUGGGGAAUAUUGCACAAUGGGCGCAAGCCUGAUGCAGCCAUGCCGCGUGUAUGAAGAGGGCCUUCGGGUUGUAAAGUACUUUCAGCGGGGAGGAAGGUGUUGUGGUUAAUAACCGCAGCAAUUGACGUUACCCGCAGAAGAAGCACCGGCUAACUCCGUGCCAGCAGCCGC
rnacentral:rRNA from 1 species